UACGAAGGGGGCUAGCGUUGCUCGGAAUCACUGGGCGUAAAGGGCGCGUAGGCGGCCUGUCAAGUCAAUUGUGAAAUCUCCGGGCUUAACUCGGAACGGUCAAUUGAUACUGUCAGGCUAGAGUGCAGAAGGGGCAAUCGGAAUUCUUGGUGUAGCGGUGAAAUGCGUAGAUAUCGCUUGGAACGCCAAUGGUGAAAACAGCUCGCUGGGGGUGUGCUGACGCUGAGACACGAAAGCCAGGGGAGCGAACGGG
rnacentral:rRNA from 1 species